AUGAAUUUUUUUCUCUAUCAUUCUUCUAGGUAAGGAAGGAAAAGAAAACAAGAAACAUUGGAAGGAUAAAUGGGGUCUUUCCUGUGAAGGCUCAACUUUCCUACAUAAUUAAGAAUUUGCAGCUUAGGCACUGCCAAAAACCACAUCUGCACUGAAAUCAAUUAUCUGUGUUUGGUGUGGACACUUUGAUAGCCUGUCAAGCAGGAGAUUGGAGCAAUUUUCUCUGAAGAAUAUGACUUUAAUAAGACCAAGAGAAAGAGACUAAAUCUGCUGACAUCUGGGUUUCCAUCUCCAUACCCCCAUAUGACUCAAAACAAAUUUAUAUCUCCUUCUGAGAAGCAACAUCUUUCUUCAAAGGCUUUGCAUGGAACAAGAGUGGAAGGGAAUCAUGAGCUACAGUUUGAUUUCAGCCUUGUAAGAUCCUGAGCAGACCCAGCCAUGCAGUAGCCAUGCCGUCACCGACUUCUGACCCACAGAAACUAUGACUUCCACUAACAUAGAUGGAGGAUGUAUAGCCCAUUCCAGUGGGACACCCAGGGCCUUGCCUAUGGUGGUUGGAGUUCUGGCUUAAAUUCAGGCAGCUGAGACACAAGUGCCAUUAACUCUUGCUGAGCAAUGUGGUUUUUCCUGGAUUCUGCCACAACCACCAAAUACCUCGUCUCAUGUAGAUGCUGCCAGCAACUCCACUGGGUAGUAGUCAUCCAAAAGGCAUCACUCCUGCUAUGUCUGCCAUCUUCUGCUCAUCAUACUUACGAUAGACUGAGGGUUUUUAUUAUGGUAUGGUUAUGUUGUCCCAUUUUCAAUGGAGAAGUGGGGUUAGCAGUAUCUAAUAAAGUAAGUAUAAUAAUAAUGGCUAAAAUGUACCGAGUAUCCAUAAUGCACCAGGCACCGGGUUGGCUUUUUAUUUACUUGGGCCACAUCCAAUUCUUAUCAUGUUAUAUCCAUUUCACACAUGAGGUGAAAUGACUGACCCAAAGUCACAUUGAUAACCAUUAGCUAAGCUGAAAUUCAAGCCAAGGUCUGUUCGGUUUCAACAUCUACAUUCUUUUCACCACACUGUGUAACCAUACCAAAGUUGCACUGCCUGUACCCCUAUACUUUAUAGAGAAUUUACUGAUAGUUUCUCCCACCCACUAGUGGUGCAGCAAGUGUUUGUGCAGAGAUAUUUCUAGAAACACUGCUCACCUCUAGUCGCAGGAUCAAGGUUCUCCACUUCGCUCUUUAUUUGUUUCCUCUCAGGAAAGGUCUCUUUACUUUCACACUUCUAGAAGCAUACCUCACUAGUAAGAGCUUUUUGAGGGCAAAGCUAAAUCUUGUUCUCUUUAUUCCUAGGGUCCAAGACGGUAUCUAGCACAUCAUGUCUUAUGGACUCACCAAGCACUAUUUGAAUGUAUGAAUUGAAUUGAAUUGCAUUGGAGACAACUCACAGACACACAAGUUAACAAGCACAAAGAAUGCAAGACAGAUGGAUCAGUUUGAUACAACCACUAUCUUGAGCAAGUUACUUAACCCUUCUGUUAUCACAUACAUAAUAGAAGGACAACUACUCUCUUAUAGGAUAGUUGUAAAGAUCAAAUAAUAAGGCAAGAAAAAUGAUCUAGCAUAGUACCUGGAGUGUUUGUAGGCCUGUGCCCUCAGUCACAGUCCCUCCACCAGUUUAACUUUGUGCUACUUUCAAGGAUCACAUUGUUACAAUCUCAGUGCUUUUUAAAGGAACUGUAAAGUCAAAAGCAGAAAAAAGAAGGGAGCUGUGUAAAGCAAGAAUGGCUUGAAAGAAUUGACCUUGGGUAGGCUUGUCUUUCUGCUAAUUGGUUUGUUGUCCUCCAGCACUGAUGAUUUUGAUCCACCAUUGGAGCUACUCUCACCAUUUAGCUCCCCCUAACAUUCUGUCUCCUCCCUUUCUCUCCUCCCAAAUGUAGGCCAAAUUUUGAUAUUCUUACCUGUUAAUAUCUAUCUUAAAUUGGUGUCCUCUCUGUCCCCUCUGGCUUGGCUUUAUCUUAGGUCCCAUUAUCUCUCCUGGUCAACUGCAACAGCCUCCUGGGCUUCCUGCUUCUAGCUGGGCUUUUAAAAUCACACAGAAUAAAGCAAAUCCACCAACUUUCUCUUUUUCAAAUGGUACUAGUGUAGAAAAUCAAAAUCUACUGGAUUUUCAGGGGUAGUACCAAUUCCGGUGCAUUACCAGUAGGAUAUUCUGGGAGGAAAAUUCUUUAUUUUCCAAUUACAUACUGUUAUAAGAAAAAAAAAACUUUUGCUGGGCCAUGUGCCCCACUUCUUAAUUCAGAACAAAUGGUCACCAUAUCCUUGGGUUGUCUUGUAUUCAAGGAAAGGGAGUCUCUUACUCCUCCUCCAUCUUCUAAUUCAAAAUGAGUUACCCCCAUCUCGGAGCUCACAAUUCAGGCUAAUACUUAGGGCAGUGCAGCUGAGGAGCAUUGUAUUUUAAAUAGGCUUAUGUGGACCAGCCUUAAAACCAAACAAUGAUUUAUAACAUUGAUUCUUUGGGAAAGGGCAUUUUAUGUCCCACGUGAGCAUCUAACAAAUGAAUUUUUGUAACCCAGCCCCAUUUGCAAGUUGGAGGCUGCCUUUAUUAGGAAGAAAGCAGUAAACCAAGAAUUCAUAUCCCUCCCAUUAGCAGUGCUGGAGAGGACAGAAUUAUGUACUAAUUGUUUAAUUGAUGAGCAUAAAAGGAAUAUUUUAUUUAAAGCCACACUUUGGAGUCAUUUCCUUUCACCCUUUCGGUUGUGUGCCUUAUAAAAUUCUAGCAAUCUUUUUUUCUGCAUUUUCUUUUCCUUUCCUUCACCCAAAUCUCAGUAAGAUUUCAUUCUAGGUCUGAGCAUAUUAUUUGCUUUACGGUAGGCUCUGGUGGUAAUAAAGCAUUACUCAUUUUUCUGCUUUAUUUCCUUGAGACACAGAGCAAACAUUCGGUAAGUGAUAGCUCUGUUCAAAUGCUACUGUGUAAAACAAGUGAGCAAGACUCAUGGCCCCUAUCUCCUCAUGGAGGGAUGGAAUGAUUUUGAGAACAGCACAAGACAAUAAAUUAAGUGAAGGAAGUUGUAUCUCCUGAAAAUUUUCACCAUAAUUUCUCCCAAAUAGUUUAGAAUAGUUCAUUCUGUUUUAUGGCAACACCCUCAAGCUAGACAUUCUUUCUCAUUGAUUUUAAGGAGAAAGGGAAGGUACCGUUGUACAUGAAUAGGUACUGAGAUUAUUAACUAUUAUAAGAUCUCUUUUGUUCUGUUGUUUGGGUUUCCUUUUUAACCUAAGAUUACAUUAACAAAUCAGAUCUUGCUGAGAAAUUACUUGCACUUUUCACCAAACGCUUCCCACAAGGAAAACGGUGAUUUUUUUUCACUACUGCAAACCAAGAAUAUUGUGGUUUUCUCUAGAUGAAUGAAACUAGAGAAUUCUUUCUCUGAGAGCAUAAAGCAAACUGAUUAAGUCAAAGAGGUGAAAGCCACAGUCUUUACUUUUGAAGUAUUCCCAGCAAAAAUCUAGGGGAUCUCAUGGAUAGUCACACCAUAAUCCAUUGUAUCUUAGGUAUUUGCAAGUCCUCAGCAGGUCACCAUAAUUUAUACUUGUUAACCAUGUAAACACGUAGGAGACUCCUAAUUACUGCGAACACUGUUGAAUUGUCUCCAUUUUUAAGUAAUGAUAAAAAAUGUUACUAAAAGAGUGUAUCAUUUUGUUAAAUUGACUAAAUAUGUUUGUAUACAUGUCACUUUUCAAUCUGUUGUUAACAAUAACCUUAGAAACGGUCCAUUGUAAAGGAUUUAUGAGUUUAAUACGUGGUACCUAGUCUCAUAUUUUAAUAAACAUUCUCAGUAUUGAAAAUGAA